rnacentral:rRNA from 1 species
GCAGCCGCGGUAAUACGUAGGGAGCGAGCGUUAUCCGGAUUUAUUGGGUGUAAAGGGUGCGUAGGCGGCUUUACAGGUCUGUGGUUUAAGCCCGAAGCUUAACUUCGGUUCGCCAUAGAAACCGUUUAGCUUGAGUAUGGUAGAGGCAAGUGGAAUUUCUAGUGUAGCGGUUAAAUGCGUAGAUAUUAGAAGGAACACCAGUGGCGAAGGCGACUUGCUGGGCCAUUACUGACGCUGAGGCACGAAAGCGUGGGGAGCAAAUAGGAUUAGAUACCCC